rnacentral:rRNA from 1 species
CCUACGGGAGGCAGCAGUGAGGAAUAUUGGUCAAUGGACGAGAGUCUGAACCAGCCAAGUAGCGUGAAGGAUGACUGCCCUAUGGGUUGUAAACUUCUUUUAUAUGGGAAUAAAAUGUUCCACGUGUGGGAUUUUGUAUGUAUCAUAUGAAUAAGGAUCGGCUAACUACGUGCCAGCAGCCGCGGUAAUACGGAGGAGCCGAGCGUUAUCCGGAUGUAGUGGGUUUAAUGGGAGCGGAGGUGGAUUGUUAAGUCAGUUGGGAAAGUGUGCGGCUCAAACGUAAAAUUGCAGUUGAAACUGGCAGUCUUGAGUACAGUAGAGGUGAGCGGAAUUCGUGGUGUAGCGGUGAAAUGCUUAGAUAUCACGAAGAACUCCGGUUGCGAAGGCAGCUCACUGGACUGCAACUGACACUGAGGCUCGAAAGUGUGGGUAUCAAACAGGAUUAGAUACCCCAGUAGUC